rnacentral:piRNA from 1 species
UGCCAAUUCACGUUGCUUAAGCAUG